rnacentral:sRNA from 1 species
UCUUAAAAAAAAACAUUCUAUGAGACUGUGCUUGUGUGUGUGCACAAUGUUUCAAACAGUUGUUGUCAUCUGUCUCAUCAUCCAACACAUCCAUUGUGCUGUGGUCAGCAAUUCAGAGUUAGACAUCAAAACUGACGACAACUUCGACUGGAGAAACUAUGGAGUUAUUACCCCUGUUUCUGAUCAAGGCCAGCUUGGUAGCGCAAUGGAUUUUGUGAUCGC